UCCUGUUUUCGUCCAGGCUCCAUCUGAGAAAGGAUUGGCAGGGUUUGCCAUUGAUUUUCUUAUGGGAGGAGUUUCUGCAGCCGUCUCCAAAACUGCUGCUGCUCCCAUUGAGCGUGUGAAGCUUUUGAUCCAGAACCAGGAUGAGAUGAUCAAGACUGGAAGACUUGCUCAACCUUACAAAGGUAUUGGUGAGUGCUUCAAGAGAACCAUCGCAGAAGAAGGUUUUGGUUCAUUGUGGAGGGGUAACACUGCCAAUGUCAUCCGUUAUUUCCCCACUCAGGUUAGCAAAGUUGUUACUCAGGUUAGCAAAGUUGUGCUUUUUGUGUUGUGGUUAUGUCGAUUUUUUUUUGCUUCCUUUUCUCACUUUUGUGUAUUAUCUCUGCCAGGCCUUGAACUUUGCCUUCAAGGAUUACUUCAAAAGACUAUUUAACUUCAAGAAGGACAAGGAUGGUUACUGGAAGUGGUUUGCUGGAAACUUGGGAUCCGGUGGUGCUGCUGGUGCAUCUUCGCUUCUCUUUGUGUACUCUCUGGAUUAUGCCAGAACCCGGUUGGCGAAUGAUGCCAAGGCUGCAAAGAAGGGUGGUGAGAGGCAAUUCAACGGUCUGGUUGAUGUCUACAAGAAGACUUUGGCCUCAGAUGGUAUUGCUGGACUCUACCGUGGUUUCAACAUUUCUUGUGUCGGAAUCAUCGUGUACCGUGGUCUCUACUUCGGAAUGUACGACUCUCUUAAGCCUGUUCUCUUGACCGGAAACCUGCAGGUCAGUAACAUGUUUCUCAUUUUCACUUAUGUAUCUAAUAUUUAUCCUUUGUUUUUGAGUUUGAAUAUUAGUCUCUAUAUGGACUAUCUUUGACAAUUCUAUUACUGCAUCACUGGCAAUUUUGCAGGAUAGUUUCUUCGCUAGCUUUGCCCUUGGAUGGGUGAUCACCAACGGUGCUGGACUUGCAUCGUACCCAAUUGACACCGUCCGCAGAAGAAUGAUGAUGACCUCCGGUGAAGCCGUGAAGUACAAGAGCUCCCUUGAUGCAUUCAAGCAGAUUGUGAAGAACGAGGGAACCAAGUCGCUCUUCAAGGGUGCUGGAGCCAACAUCCUCCGUGCCGUUGCUGGUGCUGGUGUCCUUUCCGGUUACGACAAGCUGCAGUUACUCGUUUUCGGCAAGAAGUACGGAUCAGGCAGCGGUUAAUUCUGAGUUCCAGUUAGCCUUUCUUUAGAUGUUGAUGAAAAUCUAUCACUUCCUGGUCGGAGAACUUUAUCCUAGCAGACGAUGUGAUCGUUUUAAUAAUUACAAUUUUUUUGGUGGGUAUGGGAGGAUGAAUGCCCCCCAUGAACUUAUGAUUUCGCUUCGGAAUUUUGGAUUGAUAAAGUUGUAAACUCUUGCUAUAGUUUGUGGCCUGAUGUGCCACUAUCGGAUCUUUGAUUCAGUGAGCCAUAAAUCUUUUAUACGACUCUCGUUUGUUUCAAUUUGUUGUUUCUUUUUACUGUUGUGCUCAUUUGCGUAGCUUCUAGUCGAAGGCCACUGAUUCAUUGUUGGACCGGUUUAUCGGCGGGUCUGAUCUGAUUACGACAACAAUGGGAAGAUGAUGAAUUUCUUGUUGAUAGUUGACGUGAAAAUAUCGAUGCAGAAUUUAAACUAUAUUGACAUACACUACAUCCAAGCAUAUGGUUAUAGUAGAGCUUGUGACUCUUUAGCACCACUGAUUUUCACCAUUGGAGACUGAAUUUUCUGAACUUGGUCCGAAGAAUGAAAAACUAGAAGCUGACCUUUCUCCACAAUGAACGGUCCAAAAACAACAAUCUUAUUUUAAAGUUGGAAUGCCUUCGUUGAAAUUUCAAAGUGUAAAAGAGCAGCCUCCACUCAUUUUAAUCAUGAUGAAAUUUCUUAACCCUUGUAGUUGUAAUAUAGAACAUCGAUACUGACUUCACUUGCAAAUAAGGUAAGGGGUCGUUUGGUAUACCUGACUUUGGGUGGUAUUGACAUGUAUAAAGUAUUUAAGAAGUAACUCGGUGAUCGAUUGUUCUUGUGCCUUUUAAUCCUUAUAUACGUCCAAAUUCAACCUUAUUUAUGUAAUUGAAAAUUGAUUGAAGGUGAGAACCAAUGGUGUUAGUCAACAAAAUAAGUUCAAAAAUUUCACUUUUGACUCUGCACAAUAUCAUUAUCGUUCAAUAUUUAAAUAUCUCGAAAAUAAUAUUACAACUGAUAAUAUUUAGAUAGUUCCACCAGAAUAAUUAAUUUCAAAGUUGUACAAUUUCGUCAUUAAUAGCCACAAAUCGUAAAGGAUUAAACUAUUUUUGUUAUUUCAAAUAGGUAGUACCUUUGCUAAUUAAUCAAUCAUGAUAUUUUGAAGUAAAUGGAUAUACGAACGAAUAAUAGAAAUUAAUCCAAAUCAACGAACGGAUUACGGUUUUUACUUUCUACAUUUCAUGCUGGAUUAUUUAUUACAGUGUUUUAGUCGAAAUCAACGGAUACGGCUGCGUCUGCAUCAUUAGUUACCCAACGCCACUCCUUAUUGUAUUACAAUCCAACUAGUCGAAAUUCCCGAGGUCAGCAGCCCAAAUGCACAAUAAAAACCCAACCGUAGUUUCACUUCGCAGUACGCAGCCAUAGUUCUCUCCCUCCCUCAUCUCUUUUUCGGCUUAUCGUCUGAAUCCCCAGCUUCAUUUUCAGGUUUGUAACGUGAUUCUCGUUGUUUCCUUCACUUUUUUAAUUGAUCUGUUCUUUGUUCUUUGUGCUCAGAUCUUUUGACAUUUGGUCGUGUUUUCCCGAUCGGUUGAUUUUACUCUCAGAUCUGAUAUUGGACGGUUUCGUUUCCUUUAAUCUGUUCAUGUAGAGAGCUUUUUGGUGAUUUCAUGUGUUGGUAGAGCUGUUGUGGCUCGUGGAUCUGGUUGCCGUUCUAUUUGAUUUUGAAUCAGAUUUGGAUACUGAUUCCGAUAGAUGAUUGUUUCUUGCUGUGGUUCGUUUAACUUCGUUGAGGAACUCUUUUUUUCUUAUGCUUUAACUCUGCAAGCUCGUUUAUUUUGUAAAGUUGUGUCUCGUUGAUCAGGAGAUUUUGAUUGUUUAAUCGUGAACUGUGCCCCAGUAAUCAUGGAGAUUUGAGAAUUUGAUCGUGCGGGGCCCUGUUCUUGUCGAUUAUGCGAUUUGGAUCUGUUUGAUUGCGAUAUCUGUCUUUGCUUCUCUUCUUUUUUCUAUUGCUAUAACCAUUCAAAUGAAUUAAACUGGAGCUAUUUGUGCUUGAUGAAUGAAGAAUUCCUUUCUGAAAUGCUUUGAGCCUGGUUUGUGCUCCAUUUCUUAGCUCUUAAAGGAUCUGCUUAAUAUGUUUAGACCUGAUUCCUAUCUCCUUUUUUUCUGAAUUUUCCCAAUAGUAUUAUAGAUCCUUAAUAAAUACAGAAAUGUUGUAAAUUUUCAUUGUCGAUUUGUCGCUUUUGGUUAAAUUUCCUGUUCCAAUGACUUAUCGUUAGAUUGUACUAUCUUGAUUGCUACGGUUGACUGCGUGUUGAUGUGAAUCUGUAGAUUAUUUUGCUAUUAUGUUAUGCUUUUACUUAUGUCUAAAGUCCUUGGUUUGCUAGUCGAUCAGUGUGCAAAGUAAAUCAUGAAUUUAUCUAACAAAGGCUUUGGCUUUUUUUCAUGUGCCUCUUCUUUUUGCAGGGAGAGUAACAAUGGUUGAUCAGGUUCAGCACCCCACUGUCAUGCAGAAGGUUGCCUGCCAGUACCUCUCUCAGGAUGUUCAGAGGUACAAUGGUGCCUUCCAGAGGCCUGCCGUGUCCCAAAGGCGUGCAUAUGGAAACUACUCCAAUGCUGCAUUCCAGUACUCCGGAGUUCCAACUGCUGCUUCAUCUCCUGUUUUUGUCCAGGCUCCAUCUGAGAAAGGAUUGGCAGGAUUUGCCAUUGAUUUCCUUAUGGGAGGAGUGUCAGCAGCUGUCUCGAAAACUGCUGCUGCUCCUAUUGAGCGUGUGAAGCUUUUGAUCCAGAACCAGGAUGAGAUGAUCAAGACCGGAAGACUUGCUCAACCCUACAAGGGUAUUGGUGAGUGCUUCAAGAGAACCAUCGCAGAGGAAGGCUUCGGUUCAUUGUGGAGGGGUAACACUGCUAAUGUCAUCCGUUAUUUCCCUACCCAGGUCAGCGAAGUUGUGCCUUUUGUAUUUGCUGUGUCGACUAAUUGACUUCUUUUUGCUUUCUAUUCUCACUUUUGUGUUUUAUUUCUCUGCCA
rnacentral:lncRNA from 1 species